GCAGCUCCAAAAUCUCUUAUUUCAUGAGAUUAAUCCAACAUAGAUCUGGGUACGUGCUUUUCCCCCCUUCCUUUAUCCUCUGUUUUGAUUUCUGCUUUUUUUUCCCUUUCUUUUUCUUUCCUUGAUUAAUUUUUUCCUUUUUUCAUUUUGUUGGUUUCCUCAGUUUGUACUGCUUAACGUGCGCAAAUUUCUCUGCUUUUUAUGUUCUAAUUCUCUUCCUCUGUUUUCUGAUUUUCUGUAACCCUAAUUUUGUUCUUUCUUUUACUUUAAGGGUGUUUAUAAUAAAUUUCUGAUGUUGCUUCUUUGUUUUCGUUCUUUUUCUUUUUCUUUAUUUCUUUGUUUGUUUGUCAGUAAUAGGGUAAUUAUGUAUAUCUGAGGGUCAUAUAGUUUAUGCAGCUGUUUAGAGGUCAUCAUCCUACAACUUUGGCAGCUCCAUACUUUCUUUUCCUAUGUAUACAUACUCUUAUCCUACAGCAUUAAAAAUUUGGGCCAACUGCUCUCUAACCUUCAUUACUUCA
rnacentral:misc_RNA from 1 species